GAUGAACGCUAGCUACAGGCUUAACACAUGCAAGUCGAGGGGAAACGAUAUUGGAAGCUUGCUUCCGAUAGGCGUCGACCGGCGCACGGGUGAGUAACGCGUAUCCAACCUGCCCAUCACUUGGGGAUAACCUUGCGACAGUAAGACUAAUACACAAUGAUAUCCGUCGAAGACAUCUGAAGUGGAUUAAAGAUUCAUCGGUGAUGGAUGGGGACUCGUUUGAUUAGCUUGUUGGCGGGGUAACGGCCCACCAAGGCGUCGAUCAGUAGGGGUUCUGAGAGGAAGGUCGCCCAGAUUGGAACUGGGACACGGUCCAAACUCCUACGGGAGGCAGCAGUGAGGAAUAUUGGUCAAUGGACGAGAGUCUUAACCAGCCAAGUAGCGUGCAGGAUGACGGCCCUAUGGGUUGUAAACUGCUUUUAUAAGGGAAUAAAGUGAGUCUCGUGAGACUUUUUGCAUGUACCUUAUGAAUAAGGACCGGCUAAUUCCGUGCCAGCCGCCGCAGUAA
rnacentral:rRNA from 1 species